rnacentral:lncRNA from 1 species
CUUCUUCCCUAACACUCUUUCCAUCUCCCUCAUUUUGCACCAGAGCCUGAAGAGAAGCUCGGUCCUGGACUAGGCCAGCUCAAUCUGGCUUCUACCUAAGCUUGAGUUUAAGCUCGGAUUGGGCUCCAGGCCCGAAUUUUGAAAGAAAUUUUGAGCCUCAACCUGGGCUAAAGCAUGAAUUUCUUUUUGGGCUGGACACAUACUGUAUUAAAACCUGAUCAGACUCUGCCUAAUUCCAACCCAACAACAUAAGAG